rnacentral:rRNA from 1 species
AGCUCCAAUAGCGUAUAUUAAAGUUGUUGUGGUUAAAAAGCUCGUAGUUGGAUCUCAACAGCCUUGAAGCGGUUCACUUUGUAGUUUUCCUGCUUUCUAUGCUCCGCUUUUGUUGGAGGUUUAUGGGUGCUCUUGUUCGCGUGUCUCUGGAUGCCAGCAGGUUUACUUUGAAAAAAUUAGAGUGCUCAAAGCAGGCUAAAAUGCCUGAAUAUUCGUGCAUGGAAUAAUAGAAUAGGAUGUCGAUCCUAUUUUGUUGGUUUUCGGGACUCGACAUAAUGAUAAAUAGGGACAGUCGGGGGCAUUUGUAUUCAAACGACAGAGGUGAAAUUCUUGGACCGUUUGAAGACAAACUACUGCGAAAGCAUUUGCCAAGAAUGUUUUCA